rnacentral:lncRNA from 1 species
UCUGCUUGACUUGAGACUCCCCCAUCAGAACUCUACCAUCCUCGCCCUUGAUGCACCUAACUUGGUCAAGAUCACGUGCCUUCCUUUCCCUUGCUUUAGUUAACCGGAAUAACUUCAUAUCCCCGCCGCUCUCUCUAGUUCCUCGUACAUGCGACCAAACCCCGCGUUUUUAGCUUCCGUAACCGCCAGCUUUGCUUCUUUCCUCGCCACCUUGUAGAUCUCCCUGUUCGCUCUCCGUUCUUCCUCGCUUAUGCUCCCUGCCAACUUAGCAAACGCCGCCUUCUUCACCUCCACUUUUCCUUCGACUACAU